GACAGACCCAGCGCCCCCACAGAGCCCCUGUCCCUCAGUAGAGCCUGUCCUCGAAGCCCUGGUCCAGAAGGUCCCUGAACAUGGUCCUGGUGACAUCUGCCCUCCUGGGCCUUGCUCCACACUGCUGGGAGAUGGGGUAGAUGACAUCCAAGCUGGGGACAGCUGUCACCAGGUAGAGCGAGGCACACCCCUGUGACAGCCCUGCCCUGGGGCAGGCGUUAGGGUGACCGGUCCCCUCUCCCCGUCCCCACAGCUCCAUCAGUGUCUGACUCAUGGGGGUGGUUUGGCUGUGGCCACGCUUGUCGCAACACUUUCCCUUACAAAAAAAAAAAAAAAAAAGGGAACUUAGGGAAUUAAAUGCAAAAUAUUUAAUUAAAUAAUGAAAUAUUUAAUGAAAUGAAGGUAUUUAAACUGCAAAGUCAAGCCCUGGAAAGUCAGAACAUACCAUAAUGUGGGUGACCCCAAUUUCCGUGCCCGUGAGCUGCCCGCGGCUCCUCUCAGGCCUCCCCAGGCACAGAGCUCGGGGGGGGGCACAGCAACACGCCAAGGUCGGAUCAGGAAUCUGUGGCAGCUGCCUCCUGCCAGGCUCCCACUGGACACGUCGUGCAUCCCCAUGUGGGAGCAGAGAGGUUGGCAGAACAGGUCCGGCGCGUUCCCCCAGCACGUGAGGCCUCUGGAGUGACAAGUGGCUUACCCCGACACCGCGGCGGGUGACCAGGAGCAGCACACCCUGCAGAACAGGAGGUGCUGCGAGAGCCGGGCUGACACGGUGCUGCCAGCAUCUGCCCCAGGCGGGUGAGCAGGGCUGCGCAGGGCUUCGGGACCUCGACAAUGCGUUCACAGGCUGGGGGUCCCAGGAUCUGGCUCUGUCCUCGCAUGGCCCUCAUCAGAUCUUUAUCUCCACCUCUCUUAUCUGGCGCUGGGGAAUAACAUGCGCAUGUAAUGGCAGUGAUUUGGAGCUGUGCUUAUUGAUGCCAGUGCAGCAGGAGCCAGGAGAUGAAUUGGUCCUUGCUCCACCAGGGCCGUCAGGAGGCAGGAGCCGCAUGCUAACAGGGCGAGAACAGCUGCCUCAUCCUCUCCUGCUCUGAGGAGGCCGGGAUCCUG
rnacentral:lncRNA from 1 species